rnacentral:rRNA from 1 species
GAUCCUGGCUCAGGAUGAACGCUGGCGGCGUGCCUAACACAUGCAAGUCGAACGGAGUUAUAUAACGGAAGUUUUCGGAUGGAAGAUAUGUAACUUAGUGGCGGACGGGUGAGUAACGCGUGGGCAACCUGCCCUGUACCGGGGGAUAACACUUAGAAAUAGGUGCUAAUACCGCAUAAGCGCACAGCUUCGCAUGAAGCAGUGUGAAAAACUCCGGUGGUACAGGAUGGACCCGCGUCUGAUUAGCUAGUUGGUGGGGUAGAGGCCCACCGAGGCGACGAUCAGUAGCCGGCCUGAGAGGGUGACCGGCCACAUUGGGACUGAGACACGGCCCAAACUCCUACGGGAGGCAGCAGUGGGGAAUAUUGCACAAUGGGGGAAACCCUGAUGCAAGCGACGCCGCGUGAGUGAAGAAGUAUUUCGGUACGUAAAGCUCUAUCAGCAGGGAAGAAAAUGACGGUACCUGACUAAGAAGCCCCGGCUAACUACGUGCCAGCAGCAGC